UGAUAUGUAGGAUCCCUCUCAGAUGUCAAG
rnacentral:piRNA from 1 species